UGAAAAUGCUGUUGGAGCCAUAUGCCGUUUCACUGUUCCAACGAACUUGGAAUGGCAAAAGAAGGCAGCAGAAGCUGGUAUUAUUCCUAUGUUAGUGCAGCUGCUAGACUUUGGAACUACCUUGACAAAGAAAAAUGCCGCUAUUUCUCUCACUCAUUUUUCAGAGAAUUCAUUGAUGUUGAGUCGUCCAAUACCAAAACAGAAGGCCAGGUUUUGUUGCUUCUCGGUUCCACCAGAAACUGGCUGCAGG
rnacentral:misc_RNA from 1 species